rnacentral:rRNA from 1 species
AUUGAACGCUGGCGGAAUGCUUUACACAUGCAAGUCGAGCGGCAGCACGGGGGUAACCCUGGUGGCGAGCGGCGAACGGGUGAGUAAUACAUCGGAACAUGCCCAGUCGUGGGGGAUAACACUUCGAAAGAAGUGCUAAUACCGCAUACGUCCUGAGGGAGAAAGCGGGGGAUCGCAAGACCUCGCGCGAUUGGAGUGGCCGAUGUCAGAUUAGCUAGUUGGUGGGGUAAAGGCCUACCAAGGCAACGAUCUGUAGCUGGUCUGAGAGGAUGAUCAGCCACACUGGGACUGAGACACGGCCCAGACUCCUACGGGAGGCAGCAGUGGGGAAUGUUGGACAAUGGGGGCAACCCUGAUCCAGCCACUCCGCGUGAGUGAAGAAGGCCUUCGGGUUGUAAAGCUCUUUCGGCAGGAACGAAACGGUGAGCUCUAACAUAGCUUGCUAAUGACGGUACCUGAAGAAGAAGCACCGGCUAACUACGUG